GGAAAAAAAUUUAGUACAUUUUUAAAACUUAAAGCCAUUUAGGUAGGGCAUACAUUCCUUGAUUCAUCACAAUCCCCACCAAUCCCUCUUGUCUUAAUCCUUUAUCCUAUUUUCCCAUUACUAUCUGACUCCUGAAAUAAUGAGAUAGUGUUACUUUUAGCCAAGAACUUUACACAACAAAACUAAUUGAAGUUGAGAAAGAAUCGAAAAUGGAAGGGAUCUGAGGAAGAAGCAAUAAAUAAGGCUGAGCAGGAAGAGCCUGAACACUUGGGCAAAAAUCUAAAGGACAGAUAACUUCCCUAAAGAAUUGUAUAGCAUUACCAGGGAUAGGUUGUAAAGUUGAAAUAUACUUUUUGAAAGUAACAAUGGCAAAAAACAAUUUUCAACCAACCAUGUUGGAGAAAAUUCUGAACUAUUUUCUUAAUAUAAAAACUGAUACAAUAAAAUGGCUGAAAGACCACUGGAAGUGAUCAAAGAAUAUACAGUGAAAAAUAUAUGAAAAAAAUUAUCUUUGUGUUGAAGUUAGUCCACAUAUAAGGCCUAUAUAAUGAAUGAGGAUCUUGGGACUCAAUUUUGUGUAGUGUUGGCAACAUAGGAAAUGUUUUCCAAGGACAGAACAAACAUAAACACUACUGAAAGUUUUUGUGAAGAAAAAAAAAAAAGUGUUUGUGAUGAUGCCAAAAUUUGAAUACAUGAAAGUAUUUCCCUUUAUGGCUUAGCCAUUUUCUCCUUUGACCUUUAUCAAAGAAAACACCAUAAGUAUUAACACUGGCAGUAGAUUCAUUUGUUUAGAAAUAAAAAUGCAUCUUUUCAGAGAAACUGUCAGAUUGCCAAAGGAAAAAUGAUGUGUAAUCACAGUACUUCAUUUAAAAUGUCUUGGAAAAUAACAUUGUUAAACAUUCUUUUGAAUCUGAACAUCUCAUUAGCAUUUCAUUAAAUUUCCCAAUUUAAGGUGAAAGGUUAUGGGAUGCUAAUAAGAGAAAAAGAAGAAAAAAAUAUGCUUCACAAGAAAUGUCAGUAGAUUGAAAAAAUAAUUAUGUGAAAACUUAAUUAGUUGAAGCCCCACUGCUAACAAUGGACUGAUCAAGUUUAGUUAAAUUUUCUAUUAAUAAGGUGAAGUCAUUUUUUGGAUUAGAUUGAUCACUGAUGGAGAUAAAAAUAUGUAAAUUUUAAUUAUCUGGCAUUUCAUGAUUGAAUAUAUAGUUCAUACUCAGUUUUUAACCUUUGAAAAAUAAAGGCAUUUUCUAUGGCACAGAGGUGUCAUAUUCUAUGAGAAAAUAAUAUGAAAGAAGGGUCUUCAAAGGUCUUGGCUGCUGCAGGGAAAAUUCCUGACUUUAUUUUUAUUUAUUUAUUUAUUUUGGCUAUGUCCAUGGCAUGUGGAAAUUCCUAGGUCAGGGAUUGAACCCACACCACAGCAGCAACCCAAGCUGCUGCAGUGAAAACACCAGAUCCUUAACCCAGUGCACCAAAAGGGAACUCUGAAAAUUCUUGACUUUAAAAAGAUGAUAACAUUUCUACUUUUCUAUGUCAUCUACACAUGUUAACAACUAUUGGAAUGCAAGAAUAUUAUUAAUUUUUAUUAAUUUUAAAACAUAGACUUGCACAUUACCAGAUGUGCUAUAUAAAUAUUGUAGGAAUAGUCAGGAUAUUUUUAAUUUAAACAAUAGCACAAAAAUAAAUAUAACUUGUAGUACAAAUGAAGAAUUAGAACUUCUGGAAAAAAAUGGAAGUCUUUGUAGCAAGCACCUUUCACUCUAACUUAUUAAAAAUUACAAACUUUCAAUGUUUCAACAGCUUGCCAAUAAUCCCUCCUAUUAUUGAACAGAACACCAUUACCCCAGAUCAAAUAUUAAUAUAAAUUAUAAUUCAUAUAUAAUUAGCCUGUUUUUUCUUGCUAUCCUUAUUCAUUUAGACCAGAUAACUUCCCAAAACAAUUUUGGGUAAAGUAUCACAUGCAUAUCCCACUAUCUAGGAUUCUGAUAUAGGUGUUAAUUUAUUUAGCCUAGAAUAAAAGAAUUCACCUAAAAGCAAAAUGUUUGAAAUCUUUGUUAAAUCAACAAACAUAAUUUGACUCUGUGUAUUCAUUUACCAUUUUUUUUUAAGGACUACACCUGUGGCAUAUGGAAGUUCCCAAGCUAGGGGUCUAAUUGGAGCUGCAGCUGCUGGCCUAUACCACAGCCAUAGAAACAGCAGAUCCUUAACCCACUGAGUGGGGCCAGGGAUAAAAUCCACAUCCUCAUGGAUACUAGUCAGGUUCAUUACUGCUGAGCCACUAGCAGGACAUCUCUUCUACAACCAAGGAUGUAAAGUAAGAACCACCCAGAGUCUAGUAGGAGGGGAGAAGUAAACCAAUUAGAACCUGAAUCUUAAUGGGCAACCCAGAGGAAGAAGGUGAUGUCACAAACUGGGAAGUCCUCUUUAAGGAGCGAGGUCAUGCCCCACAUUGAGCACUCCAGCCCUGUGGACAAGACCAGGAAGAUAAGCCCCUUAAAUGGUUUGGAAAAGCAGUAGGGCUCACAACUGGGAGAACCUGAGGGCUACAGGAAACUGACAUGCUGUACUUAAAGAACACACACAAAAACAUACUCCCAGUCACAACAUGGGAGCAGCAGAAUGAAAAGCAUUUGCCAAGUUUGCCCCAGCACAUCCCCAGGCCCACACCUGGCCCUGUCUCCAACCUCACCACCAACAUGGUGCCCCCAAGUGUACCCUGGGAGAAGCACUGGCCCACAAGCUCCAGAUUACAUGCAUUAAGGUGGCAGUUUCCAACACUCCCCAGGAGAAGCCCUGGCCCCCACUGGGCUCUAACUCCAGUACUCACUACUCAGCCAAGAUGUCAGCUUCCAAGUCACCCCAAGAGAACCCACAGUCCAUGCUAGCUUCAGGUCCAGCCCUCCCACAAAAGCCACCAGGCACACAAAGUCCAGCUAGGGAUGUUCCCACACAAGGACACACAUCUAAGACCUGAAGAGCUAACUACAUCACCUAAUUCCAUAGA
rnacentral:lncRNA from 1 species